rnacentral:rRNA from 1 species
CACGUAGGGGGCAAGCGUUGUCCGGAUUUAUUGGGCGUAAAGAGCUCGUAGGCGGUUCGGUAAGUCGGGUGUGAAAACUCAGGGCUCAACCCUGAGACGCCACUCGAUACUGCUGUGACUAGAGUCCGGUAGGGGAGCAUGGAAUUCCUGGUGUAGCGGUGAAAUGCGCAGAUAUCAGGAGGAACACCAGUGGCGAAGGCGGUGCUCUGGGCCGGAACUGACGCUGAGGCGCGAAAGCCAGGGGAGCGAACGGG